UACGAGGGGGGCAAAUGUUGUUCGGAAUCAUUGGGCGUAAAGCGCGUGUAGGCGGCCCGAUAAGUCCGCUGUGAAAGUCCAGGGCUCAACCCUGGGAUGCCGGUGGAUACUGUCGGGCUCGAGUCCGGAAGAGGCGAGUGGAAUUCCUGGUGUAGCGGUGAAAUGACGCAGAUAUCAGGAGGAACACCAAUUGCGAAGGCAGCUCGCUGGGACGUUACUGACGCUGAGACGCGAAAGCGUGGGGAGCAAACAGG
rnacentral:rRNA from 1 species